rnacentral:rRNA from 1 species
AGCGAACGCUGGCGGCAGGCUUAACACAUGCAAGUCGAGCGGGCAUCUUCGGAUGUCAGCGGCAGACGGGUGAGUAACACGUGGGAACGUACCCUUCGGUUCGGAACAACUCUGGGAAACUGGAGCUAAUACCGGAUACGCCCUUAUGGGGAAAGGUUUACUGCCGAAGGAUCGGCCCGCGUCUGAUUAGCUAGUUGGUGGGGUAACGGCCUACCAAGGCGACGAUCAGUAGCUGGUCUGAGAGGAUGAUCAGCCUCACUGGGACUGAGACACGGCCCAGACUCCUACGGGGAGCAGCAGUGGGGAAUAUUGGACAAUGGGCGCAAGCCUGAUCCAGCCAUGCCGCGUGAGUGAUGAAGGCCUUAGGGUUGUAAAGCUCUUUUGUCCGGGACGAUAAUGACGGUACCGGAAGAAUAAGCCCCGGCUAACUUCGUG